UUCUUUAAAGAAACCAUACUGCUUUGACUGAGCAGCUAUUGCUUUUUAUCUCAAUGGUGGACUAUGCUGUCUUCAAUAACUUUUCAGUAGUUUCCCAGUAAAAUUUUUAUGAUUAUUAAAAAGGAAUUAUUUAUUAUAGACUGUGGUUAGCUAGAACUUUUUAAGUAUUGUACACAUUAAGUCUUUUGAUUUGACUGAAGCUAUGGCUCUGACAAACUUUCUCCAAGUAGACUUCCUACAUCUAUCUCGCUUUAUUUUUUUUUUUUUUUACAACAGACAGAACAUGGGGAAAGAAGAGUUUGGUGUGGGGUAAAUAUUCAAUCAUCACUUGAUAAAAGCCAGCUUUAGUUAUUCUACAUUUAGCAAAAUGAAAUGUAUAGGAUUCCACCAUUUAUCACAUGAUGCUUCAUGAAAAAAGUUACAAAUUAAAAUUUUAAAGUAGCUACUAAAUUUUUAACGUGUAUUGUUAGCAGAGUUUUGUGGUUUUUUAAACUGUUACUUGCUUUCUUUAAAAUCUUACAGAGAACCUUCUGCUUUGAAGAACUAUAUUUUGAAAUAUCUGAAUUUACUGACUCCUACUUUAGGCUGUAUCUGGCUUAAGAAUAAAGUGAUAGUUGCUCAGACUUUUUCCAGCAGCAGUAAUUAUAAUUAUCAAUUUCUUUUUUAUUAUAAUUAUCAAUUGAUUUGUUUUCAGGCUUUAAAAGUGGCUAUUGGAGUGGUGCUUCCCAGUUGACUAUUUUAACCACUGGUUAAACAAGACCCAGUGAUUCUGUUGCUCGCUCUACAUGGACAGAAAGGGCAUCAGUACGAUCCCCAGAGGAGCUGAUCUCUGAGCAAACUCUUCUGACCUUGCGGAAAACACAUCCAGCUGAAACUCACAGUGAAAUGGAAACAUACAAGUUAACCACAGAAGUUAAGAAAUAUCCUCAUCUGCAUUGUAUUUCUUUAACGUGGAAAGUUUCUACAUGAGAAGCUGAGCAAUGAAUAACACAGCCUGCAAGCUGAUGCCACUGUGCAACUCUCUUCAUGCUGUUUUUCUCCUUCUUAGAAGCAAUAUUGGACCCCAGCUUGUUUUCAUUUUGCAAGCAAAUUCUGAGUUUUCUUGGUACUGGUCUACCUACCCUGAACUCAUUUCAGAAGAUAAUUGGUUGAGCUUAGGACUGCUGCUGGAAUCUCAGUGUAAAUACGGGUCCCAGUAAAAGGAGGAGAGGGGAUGGAACAGACGCAGACCCAGAGCCUGUUGAGCACUCCAGCCUUGCAGUGGCUGCAUGGUGGUGAUCUCCCCUGGAGCAGGAGUGCCUCCUGAGGCCACUCCUCAAGGUCAAGAGAUCCCUUACCAUCUGGGCAUCUGGUAUCUACAGCAAGGUAAAUGACAUUUUAUGUUAAAUCUAAAGUAUACUGUACACAAGCUAGCUUAAUUAUUAGAAGUGUGAUAAGUAGUGUAGAGUGUUUGACCCCCUUGUUGUCAUUGUUUAGUAACUGUUUAAUCAUCAUCAUUAAAUCACUGUUUAAUAAAACCUUUUGGUUAACCCUACAAUAAUGGC